rnacentral:rRNA from 1 species
GAUCAUGGCUCAGAUUGAACGCUGGCGGCAUGCCUUACACAUGCAAGUCGAACGGCAGCACGGGUGCUUGCACCUGGUGGCGAGUGGCGAACGGGUGAGUAAUAUAUCGGAACGUACCUUAUCGUGGGGGAUAACGCAGCGAAAGCUGCGCUAAUACCGCAUACGCCCUGAGGGGGAAAGCGGGGGACCGUAAGGCCUCGCGCGAUUGGAGCGGCCGAUGUCGGAUUAGCUAGUAGGUGAGGUAAAGGCUCACCUAGGCGACGAUCCGUAGCGGGUCUGAGAGGAUGAUCCGCCACACUGGGACUGAGACACGGCCCAGACUCCUACGGGAGGCAGCAGUGGGGAAUAUUGGGCAAUGGAGGAAACUCUGACCCAGCGACGCCGCGUGCGGGAUGAAGGCCUUCGGGUUGUAAACCGCUUUCAGCAGGGAAGAAGCGAAAGUGACGGUACCUGCAGAAGAAGCACCGGCUAACUAUGUG